rnacentral:lncRNA from 1 species
UUGAGCCAGGGUGGGAAGCAGGGCUGUCCUUUGGCACCGUCUGAUCCGGGCUGCGGGAUUGAAGGCGGUGGUCGCUAAGCUAGGUCUAAGACGGACAGCCAGGGCGACAACCAGUCUGUCGCUACGUGUCCCCAGCUUCCCUGUUUCCGAGCGCCUCUCAAGGCGCACGCUCUGGACUUGUUCAGAUGGGGGAAGGGAACCGGUCUGGAACUCCCCACUAUUCCCGAGGUUCCCACGCCUCCAGAUCCGGAGAGGCCGUUUCGCUCCAGUGGCCUGGCCCCCCUGCCCCCUCAGCCUAGCCGUUCUUGAUCGUAAGUGCUAAAAGGAACCAAGAAGGAGAACUCAAGAAUCCACACAUAAGCCCAAACCCUGACAGGAGCCUUUUCCUCUCGCAUCUCCCGCCUACGCGGCCUCCUAGUAGCUUUUUAACUGCUGGCGGAACCUCCCCACAGAGAAUCCCACCCUAUACACUGGGGGAAGGAAUGGUG